rnacentral:rRNA from 1 species
GAUGAACGCUGGCGGCGUGCCUAAUACAUGCAAGUCGAGCGAAUGGAUUAAGAGCUUGCUCUUAUGAAGUUAGCGGCGGACGGGUGAGUAACACGUGGGUAACCUGCCCAUAAGACUGGAAUAACUCCGGGAAACCGGGGCUAAUACCGGAUAAUAUUUUGAACUGCAUGGUUCAAAAUUGAAAGGCGGCUUCGGCUGUCACUUAUGGAUGGACCCGCGUCGCAUUAGCUAGUUGGUGAGGUAACGGCUCACCAAGGCAACGAUGCGUAGCCGACCUGAGAGGGUGAGCGGCCACACUGGGACUGAGACACGGCCCAGACUCCUACGGGAGGCAGCAGUAGGGAAUCUUCCGCAAUGGACGAAAGUCUGACGGAGCAACGCCGCGUGAGUGAUGAAGGCUUUCGGGUCGUAAAACUCUGUUGUUAGGGAAGAACAAGUGCUAGUUGAAUAAGCUGGCACCUUGACGGUACCUAACCAGAAAGCCACGGCUAACUACGUGCCAGCCGCCGCCGUAA